rnacentral:rRNA from 1 species
GGUUAAGUGACUAAGCGUACACGGUGGAUGCCUAGGCAGUCAGAGGCGAUGAAGGGCGUGCUAAUCUGCGAAAAGCGUCGGUAAGGUGAUAUGAACCGUUAUAACCGGCGAUACCCGAAUGGGGAAACCCAGUGUGUUUCGACACACUAUCAUGUCAUGAAUACAUAGUGGCAUGAGGCGAACCGGGGGAACUGAAACAUCUAAGUACCCCGAGGAAAAGAAAUCAACCGAGAUUCCCCCAGUAGCGGCGAGCGAACGGGGAGGAGCCCAGAACCUGAAUCGGCUUGUGUGUUAGUGGAAGCGUCUGGAAAGUCGCGCAGCAAAGGGUGAUAGCCCCGUACACUAAAAUGCACAGGUCGUGAGUUCGAUGAGUAGGGCGGGACACGUGACAUCCUGUCUGAAUAUGGGGGGACCAUCCUCCAAGGCUAAAUACUCCUGACUGACCGAUAGUGAACCAGUACCGUGAGGGAAAGGCGAAAAGAACCCCGGCGAGGGGAGUGAAAUAGAACCUGAAACCGUGUACGUACAAGCAGUGGGAGCACCUUCGUGGUGUGACUGCGUACCUUUUGUAUAAUGGGUCAGCGACUUAUAUUUUGUAGCAAGGUUAACCGUAUAGGGGAGCCGUAGGGAAACCGAGUCUUAACUGGGCGAUUAGUUGCAAGGUAUAGACCCGAAACCCGGUGAUCUAGCCAUGGGCAGGUUGAAGGUUGGGUAACACUAACUGGAGGACCGAACCGACUAAUGUUGAAAAAUUAGCGGAUGACUUGUGGCUGGGGGUGAAAGGCCAAUCAAACCGGGAGAUAGCUGGUUCUCCCCGAAAGCUAUUUAGGUAGCGCCUCGUGAACUCAUCUUCGGGGGUAGAGCACUGUUUCGGCUAGGGGGCCAUCCCGGCUUACCAAACCGAUGCAAACUCCGAAUACCGAAGAAUGUUAUCACGGGAGACACACGGCGGGUGCUAACGUCCGUCGUGAAGAGGGAAACAACCCAGACCGCCAGCUAAGGUCCCAAAGUCAUGGUUAAGUGGGAAACGAUGUGGGAAGGCAUAGACAGCCAGGAUGUUGGCUUAGAAGCAGCCAUCAUUUAAAGAAAGCGUAAUAGCUCACUGGUCGAGUCGGCCUGCGCGGAAGAUGUAACGGGGCUAAACCAUGCACCGAAGCUGCGGCAGCGACGCUUAGGCGUUGUUGGGUAGGGGAGCGUUCUGUAAGCCGUUGAAGGUGGCCUGUGAGGGUUGCUGGAGGUAUCAGAAGUGCGAAUGCUGACAUAAGUAACGAUAAAGCGGGUGAAAAGCCCGCUCGCCGGAAGACCAAGGGUUCCUGUCCAACGUUAAUCGGGGCAGGGUGAGUCGACCCCUAAGGCGAGGCUGAAAAGCGUAGUCGAUGGGAAACAGGUUAAUAUUCCUGUACUUGGUGUUACUGCGAAGGGGGGACGGAGAAGGCUAGGCUGGCCGGGCGACGGUUGUCCCGGUUUAAGCGUGUAGGGGGUGUGACCUGGUAAAUCCGGUUGCAUA